GCCGGUGUAGCUCAGGGGUAGAGCGUUUCCUUGGUAAUGAAGAGGUCACGGGUUCAAAUCCCGUCAUUGGCU
rnacentral:tRNA from 1 species